ensembl:lncRNA
CGUCUUUCCACCAGCGCGCCAUAACGGAGGAGAACUACAAGAGGAGCUUCGUGGUCAAUUGCCUUUGCUCGUCGUGCUAAUCAACGCUAAUUCGGUUGGCUUCUAUUUGGCCUGUUAUGAUAACAAUGCCUCUGUGAUCCUGCCAUACAGGUGCAGCUGAGCACAUCGGGUGUCUCUGCCAACGUCCCCGCGAUGAGAACGCCGUGUCCACUUUCCAUUCCCUGUCCUUCUCUCUCUCUCUCCCUCCCUCCCUCCCUUCAGCUCAGCCCGAUCCUCCUUCUGCACGAUGGAUUCUCCCAGUGGCGAAUGAAUGGGACUCAGUGUUGACGGUGGAGGUGAAGUCACCCUCUCUGGCAGAGGAACACACCUGCACGCAGGCGGCUGUCCCGCUGUCUGCGACUGACAGAUUGCGGCUUGGGGAAGCGGGACUCUUAAUCUCCACCUCUGUCCGCCUCGCAGGCAUCCUGACUCGGCCACCACCCGGGGGAGGGGAGGUUACUCAACCUGUGUUCCCACUCCAGACCGGUGGAGUGGAGCCCAAUCAGACAACGUCCAACCCUCCCUCCCUCCCGUCUCCACAGCCGAGGAGGGGGCACAGCGAAAAGUCCAAUUCACCACCAGUUUGAAGCUGAAUGUGUUUCUCCUGCAAUUUGCGAUCUGUUGUGUUAAGGUUGGUUUUGGCUCUUGUGAAUGAGUGAGUGAGUGAAUAUGAAAGGCUGCUGUUUCUUAACGUGGUGAACAUAUGGACCCUUUCUUUUCAUUCAGUCUGCGUUUAAUCUGAAGUUACAGCACAUGGCUGACAUGAACGCCUUGCUGUCUGUCACCCCGCUGACCCGAGUCCAUCUUCAUUUAUCUCUCCGUGUUUGAUUUUAAUACCCAAGUGUGUUCAUUCAUUUUAGAGAAUUUUUGGAGAGCUGUAACAAUGACGCUAUUAAUUAAUAGAUUAGACAGUUAAUAGAAAAAAACAAAAAAACAUCAGCAUUUUGUUAACUUGAUAAUUUAUCAAGUAACAAUGUCAAAUGUUUGCUCGUCAAACUUGCUGCAUUUCUUAAUUAAAGAACAACUCAAGUCAACUCAAGUUCUCAAUGGCAUUGCUCAUGUCUACACAUUAUAAAAAUGAUAUUGAUAAGAAAGUAUUUUCAUUUUCUGGGCAAACUAUCAGCAUUUAUAUUUUGUUGUGGUUUUGUUCAGCCAAAGUAACACAACUCUUUCACUCCCAGUUAAGCACCAGCGUCCCCUUAAAAAAACAGCUCGUCCAACUCGAUGCUUUGAUGACGUGCCGCUGUGCACAAUAGACUUGCGUUACUUGUUAUUUAGAGAUACAAUAGCUGGCUGCGCCCCAUAAGUACACACAGUCCUCUUUCAAGUUAUUUCUGUACUCAAUCUGCAUAUUACAUUUUCA